rnacentral:rRNA from 1 species
GAUGAACGCUGCGGCGUGCCUAAUACAUGCAAGUCGAGCGAACAGACGAGGAGCUUGCUCCUCUGACGUUAGCGGCGGACGGGUGAGUAACACGUGGAUAACCUACCUAUAAGACUGGGAUAACUUCGGGAAACCGGAGCUAAUACCGGAUAAUAUAUUGAACCGCAUGGUUCAAUGGUGAAAGACGGUUUUGCUGUCACUUAUAGAUGGAUCCGCGCCGCAUUAGCUAGUUGGUAAGGUAACGGCUUACCAAGGCAACGAUGCGUAGCCGACCUGAGAGGGUGAUCGGCCACACUGGAACUGAGACACGGUCCAGACUCCUACGGGAGGCAGCAGUAGGGAAUCUUCCGCAAUGGGCGAAAGCCUGACGGAGCAACGCCGCGUGAGUGAUGAAGGUCUUCGGAUCGUAAAACUCUGUUAUUAGGGAAGAACAAAUGUGUAAGUAACUAUGCACGUCUUGACGGUACCUAAUCAGAAAGCCACGGCUAACUACGUG